CUGUGUAAUAUAUGGUUAAUAUGUUGCACGUACUAAAUUUUAUUUUUGUAUAUCUAUUGCAGGUGUCAAGAAUGGAGAGUUUGGGAGUUAUUAAAGAACAUAAAUAUGCCAAUUUAACUCCUGAGGAGGAAGCUUUUAGUUGUAUAAGAAUAUGCAGCUUUCAUUUUGAUGACAAUAGUUUUACUCCCUCAGGAAAACGACUAUUAAAAACAGCUAUUCCAAAACUGACAAGGGAAUACCGUCAUAUUAUGGGUUUAAGUCAAACUUCUGGGAUUAAUGUGUAUAAUGAAAAAAAUGAUUAUAUUGUUUCUCCAGCUCUUCCACAUCUAAUAGAUGAAUCAACUCAAACGGAUUCUCAGUCAGGUAUUCAUUUAAGUAUAUUAAUUUGCUCUUUUACUACCAAUUCUUAAAUAUAGUUUAAAAUAUUUCAAAAAAUUAUUAAAGAAAAAAAAUUUGCUUUUCACAAAACCAUAACAGUUAAUGUUAGUGCAGUUUCUAAAUGUGACGCAUCUACCCAAACUGGAAUUUAUGAAGAGUUUGCUCAAGAUAUUUAUUGCCAAACUCCACAGCACUUAUCACAAAAUUCACCGCGAAAACAAGGCUUGAAGAGAAAACUAGAAGAAAUGCAACAUUCUUUGAAGUGUAGGGGCCGGUUAAAUGUUGAUAUUACAACGUCAGAUAUGUUGCAGUUUCUAGAAGAUAACUAUCCGGAACACUCCACCAUGCUGAUUAGAAAUCAAUUAUUAUUGCUUGAUAAAGUCAAAAAAGGUGCAAGAUAUUCUGAAGAGUUUAAGUAAUUUGCUCUUACAUUAUAUUUACUAGGACCAAAAGCCUAUAAAAAAUUAUCUAAGGUUAUAACGCUGCCUUCUAUAACAACCCUUAAAAGAAUUACCCAAAGUUGGAGCAUUUCUACCGGUUUUAAUGAUUUUAUUUUUUG